AAAGUCGUAACAAGGUUUCCGUAGGUGAACCUGCGGAAGGAUCAUUAUUGAAUAAACCUGGCUUGGUUGUUGCUGGUCUUUUCAGAGACAUGUGCACGCCUUGUCAUCUUUAUAUUUCCACCUGUGCACCUUUUGUAGACUUGUAGACACUUUUCCGAGGCAACUCGGUCGUGAGGAAUUGCUUUAAAUGGCUUUCCUUGAAUGUCUUCAAGCCUAUGUCUCAUAUACUCCAUAAAAAUGUAACAGAAUGUCAUUAUCAGACUUAUGUCUUAUAAACUAUAUACAACUUUCAGCAACGGAUCUCUUGGCUCUC
rnacentral:misc_RNA from 1 species